rnacentral:lncRNA from 1 species
CAUAACCAAUUUCACAUAACCUUUUCAAAGAUUUGUUAAUUCUUUAUCUUCUGGGGAACUCAAAGUAAUUUGCGUUCUUUUAAACCCCACAAAGGAGACUUAUGGAAGUGAUCAGUACCACAUGAUGACAACUAAUGUUGUCACAAUAUGAAUGCUAUGGACUCCAGGAUGUGUUGUGUUGUCUGUGAACAGUGUGUGAGCUGAGGCGUCAGGCCUCGCAGCUGGGUGUCCCCAUGCCAGUGCUGUCCGUGAAGAUGAUGCUGGAGAGACUGAUGGAGAUCACUGGAACUGAGGAAGUGAGGCAGGAAGAGGACAAGAGGAGAGAACUGCUCACUUCAUCUCAGCGAGUCCAGCUGAGGGUCCUGUUAGAGUCCAGCAAAGACCUUCUGUCCCAGGGAGCCCUCUGCCCUAAACUGCUCUGGCAGGAGUACAGAAGAGAUCAGGUGUGUGUGGUUGUGCAUGUUAGAGUUCAUACAUGAGAUCUAAACAAGAUCUCAUGUAUUCUGAUGAGGUUUUGCACAAUUUGUAUUCUAUUAAGUU